rnacentral:rRNA from 1 species
AUACGGAGGGUGCGAGCGUUAAUCGGAAUUACUGGGCGUAAAGCGUGCGUAGGCGGUUUGCUAAGUCAGAUGUGAAAGCCCCGGGCUUAACCUGGGAACUGCAUUUGAUACUGGCAGACUAGAGUAUGAUAGAGGGGGGUAGAAUUCCUGGUGUAGCGGUGAAAUGCGUAGAUAUCAGGAGGAAUACCAGUGGCGAAGGCGGCCCCCUGGAUCAAUACUGACGCUGAGGUACGAAAGCGUGGGGAGCGAACAGGAUUAGAUACCCCAGUAGUCC